rnacentral:rRNA from 1 species
UGGGGAAUAUUGCACAAUGGGCGCAAGCCUGAUGCAGCCAUGCCGCGUGUGUGAAGAAGGCCUUCGGGUUGUAAAGCACUUUCAGCGAGGAGGAAGGUGGUGAGCUUAAUACGCUCAUCAAUUGACGUUACUCGCAGAAGAAGCACCGGCUAACUCCGUGCCAGCAGCCGCGGUAAUACGGAGGGUGCAAGCGUUAAUCGGAAUUACUGGGCGUAAAGCGCACGCAGGCGGUUUGUUAAGUCAGAUGUGAAAUCCCCGGGCUCAACCUGGGAACUGCAUUUGAAACUGGCAAGCUAGAGUCUCGUAGAGGGGGGUAGAAUUCCAGGUGUAGCGGUGAAAUGCGUAGAGAUCUGGAGGAAUACCGGUGGCGAAGGCGGCCCCCUGGACGAAGACUGACGCUCAGGUGCGAAAGCGUGGGGCAGCAAACAGGAUUAGAUACCCUGGUAGUCCACGCUGUAAAACGAUGUCGAUUUGGAGGUUGUGCCCCUUGAGGCGUGGCUUCCGGAGCUAACGCGUUAAAUCGACCGCCUGGGGAGUACGGCCGCAAGGUUAAAACUCAAAGGAAUU